rnacentral:rRNA from 1 species
AGCCACUGCUAUUGGGAUCCGACUAAGCCAUGCGAGUCGAGAGGGUUCGGCCCUCGGCAGACUGCUCAGUAACACGUGGAUAACCUAACCUUAGGUGGAAGAUAACCUCGGGAAACUGAGAAUAAUAUUCCAUAGAUCUAGGAUGCUGGAAUGCAUCUAGAUUAAAAGUUCCGACGCCUAAGGAUGGGUCUGCGGACUAUCAGGUUGUAGUCAGGGUAAAGACCUGACUAGCCUACGACGGAUAUGGGUUGUGAGAGCAAUAGCCCAGAGACGAUAUCUGAGACACGAUAUCGGGCCUACGGGGCGCAGCAGGCGCGAAAUCUUCACAAUGUGCGAAAGCACGAUGAGGGGAUCCCAAGUGCUGGCACGUAAGUGUCAGCUGUUUCUUAGUCUAAAAGACUGAGAGAGUAAGAGCUGGGUAAGACGAGUGCCAGCCGCCGCGGUAAUACCUGCAGCUCAAGUGGUGGCCACUAUAUUGGGCCUAAAACGUCCGUAGCCUGUUUAGUAAAUGCUUGGGUAAAUUGUGUAGCUUAACCAUACGAAUACCGAGUAGACUGCUAAACUUGGGACCGGGAGAGGCUAGAGGUGCUCCUGGGGUAGAGGUGAAAUUCUGUAAUCCUAGGGGGACCACCAGUGGCGAAGGCGUCUAGCUAGAGCGGGUCUGACGGUGAGGGACGAAGCCCCGGGGCGCAAACCGGAUUAGAUACCCGGGUAGUCCAGGGUGUAAACGCUGCUUGCUUGAUGUUAGUUGGGCUCCGAGCCCAACUAGUGUCGGAGAGAAGUUGUUAAGCAAGCUGCCUGGGAAGUACGGUCGCAAGACUGAAACUUAAAGGAAUUGGCGGGGGAGCACAGCAACGGGUGGAGCGUGCGGUUUA